ensembl:lncRNA
CCGAGCGUCCCGGCAUUGAGAACAAACAAACUCAGAUAACUAUGAGUUUAUUUGAAAACGAAACUUCCCGAGUUCAGUAACAUAAAAAUACACUCCCCGCUGUUAUGGAGCUCAGGGUUCAACCUGAGGCCGUCACUAUGCAACAAUUGAUGAAACUGCAACUGAAAAGCCCUGCGACAGACUGGCGACCUGUGUCCCCUGCCUUCGCCCGAGUCAGCUGGGAUAGGCUCCAGCACCCCCCGCGACCCUAGUGAGGAUUAAGCGGUGUAUAGAUAAUGGAUGGAUGGAUGGAUGAAGCAGUGGGCUGGAGGAAGGUCAGCAGCAGCAUCCCACAGUGAACAUGAUGGAGACUAGGCCAGUUGGUGGGAGAACGACCACAGAUCUGAAGCAUCCAGCUCUGGGACCAGGGACACACGGAAAAAGGACACAGAGAGAAACAGAGUGAGUGUAAUGCAAUAAUGGUAUAUAUAGUAAAUACAUAGGUAGUUAGAGAAGGGCUCAGUGCAUCAAGAGAGGUUCCCCAGCAGCCUAGGCCUAUAGCAGCAUAACUU